UACAGGUUAAUUACAUAUUAUUGAAUUAUUAAUUACUGAAAAAUUCUGCUAAUUGAAAGCAAAAAUACAUAACAUAAUUUGCACCAAUAGGUGCUGGAUGGGGGUGGGGUUUUAAUGAACAAACAACUAAGUUAUCUUGCUGUGAUUGGCUGGAUUUGUUUUACCUGUCCCCUCCCACAACUUUUCUCAUUUUCAUCAGUGACGUUGAAUGGUAAGCAACUCUUUCUUAUAAAGCUAGGCAUAAAUGUAGUGUUUUAAUUUAAGAUUAAGUAUCAAGAAUUAAAAAGUGCAAGUUUAAUGUCACUUUUUUCCACACAGGAUAAUUACAAAACAUUAAAUUAACAAUUACUGAUUUUUUCUGAUUACAGCCUUCAAAAGGUGUUUUCAAAUGGUAGAAUACAGUGUUUUAAUUUGAAUUUACGUCUGAAGCAUUAAAAAAUACACAUUGUACCAAGUUUUUCAUAUAUCUGUUAUAUAUGUUUGUGUGUUUGCAUAAUACAAAUUUCUUCUUAAACAGAAUUGUAAACAGAAAAACAACAUGAGUCAGCCAUCGUGCCCCGUUUGCAUUCGUUGCAUGGAUUGUGACCAUAUGGGUCCACCCCCUUACCCUGGAGAGCCAAUCCAUUCCAAUCCACUGGUCCGAGAUCACCCAAGCACAGUCAUCAUACAUCAAGGGGUUAGUGAAUAUAUCAAUGUCGUGAUGUAGAUUAUAUUUAUGCAAACUUGCCAUAAACUAAUCGUUAUUUUCCUGUCUUUCAGUGCUGUGGUGACCCACAGGACCGGACCUUCAACAUCAUACUUGCUUGUUGGGCAAUAACCCUUGUUAUUAUGUCUGCCCUAUUGUUUUACAUGGUAUGGAAUGCCAUUCAAAAGUGAAGUGGAAAUAAACAUUGUUUGUGUUUUA